rnacentral:rRNA from 1 species
CUACGGGUCGCUGCAGUGGGGAAUAUUGCACAAUGGGCGCAAGCCUGAUGCAGCAACGCCGCGUGAGGGAUGAAGGCCUUCGGGUUGUAAACCUCUUUUAGCAGGGAAGAAGCGAAAGUGACGGUACCUGCAGAAAAAGCACCGGCUAACUACGUGCCAGCAGCCGGGGUAAUACGUAGGGUGCAAGCGUUGUCCGGAAUUAUUGGGCGUAAAGAGCUCGUAGGCGGUUUGUCACGUCUGCUGUGAAAAUCCAAGGCUCAACCUUGGACUUGCAGUGGGUACGGGCAGGCUAGAGUGCGGUAGGGGAGAUGGGAAUUCCUGGUGUAGCGGUGGAAUGCGCAGAUAUCAGGAGGAACACCAAUGGCGAAGGCACAUCUCUGGGCCGUAACUGACGCUGAGGAGCGAAAGCGUGGGGAGCGAACAGGAUUAGAUACCCCCGUAGUC